GGACUACCCGGGUAUCUAAUCCCGUUCGCUCCCCCAGCUUUCGCGCCUCAGCGUCAAGAGUGCCCCAGGAGACCGCCUUCGCCACUGGUGUUCCUACCGAUAUCUACGCAUUUCACCGCUACACCGGUAAUUCCAUCUCCCCCUAGCACCUUCAAGACCGCCAGUAUCCACCGACCCUCCGGGGUUGAGCCCCGGGCUUUCACAGCGGACUUGGCGACCCGCCUACGCGCGCUUUACGCCCAGUAACUUCGGACAACGCUCGCCCCCUCCGUAUUACCGCGGCUGCUGGCAC
rnacentral:rRNA from 1 species